UACGGAGGGUGCAAGCGUUAUCCGGAUUCACUGGGUUUAAAGGGUGCGUAGGAGGGCAGGUAGGUCAGUGGUGAAAUCUCCAAGCUUAACUUGGAAACUGCCGUUGAUACUAUCUGUCUUGAAUAUUGUGGAGGUGAGCGGAAUAUGUCAUGUAGCGGUGAAAUGCUUAGAUAUGACAUAGAACACCAAUUGCGAAGGCAGCUCGCUACUCAAUUAUUGACUCUGAGGCACGAAAGCGUGGGGAUCAAACAGG
rnacentral:rRNA from 1 species